GACGAACCGAGCGAACGUUGUUCGGAAUUACUGGGCGUAAAGGGCGCGUAGGCGGCCGCCUAAGUCAGACGUGAAAUCCCUCGGCUCAACCGGGGAACUGCGUCUGAUACUGGGUGGCUUGAGUUCGGGAGAGGUGAGUGGAACUGCGAGUGUAGAGGUGAAAUUCGUAGAUAUUCGCAAGAACACCAGUGGCGAAGGCGGCUCACUGGCCCGAUACUGACGCUGAGGCACGAAAGCGUGGGGAGCAAACAGG
rnacentral:rRNA from 1 species